UUCUGCUCAUAGUUGUUUCCAUGUAAAUCUGUAGGAAUUCUACUCUUCUCCAUGGCUUUGUUCAAGACUAUAGCUGAGCCAGUUUGUGAUAUACUGGAGCAGGGGAGGAUAUGGGCAAAUGAGAUCACCCUUGUUUUUCUGCCUAUUUGUGAUGAGUAGGGCUGGGACUCCAGGAGUUCUGGUAUCUGUUCCAGGCUCUCUAUUGCAGACAUCCUGUAAGACCUUGAGCAAGACAGACCUCGCUGAAGCUUGUUUCCCCUCUCACUUACAUUAGUAGAAUCAGUGUAAUUCUGCCAAUUCCAACAGCGUGACUCCUGGUUUAUGCUGGCAUAAGUGAGAUCAAAAUCAGCAUUUCUGGGUUGAAAUGCUGGGUGAUAGACAAAGCCUGUAUUCUCAGUGGCAUAACUGAGCACUCAGCCGUUGUGGUACAGACAUAUCUUCAUGGGUUAGCCUUCCUGCAAGAAAUAAAUAAACUAUUGUAUGGAGCCAGAUAUCUAAAACAAGUUGCUCCCACCCCAUCUGAUGCCACCUCCAAAACAGAGGUGCUUGUGCAAGGUAAAGAUGAUUCACUGGAAAUAGUCUUGCAAAGGCUUGUGUGUCUGUAAAGGAGUGGAAAAUGGACAGGGAAGUAGAGAGAUCAGGAGCAGCAAAACCAAGGACAUAGUAAGAACAAGCUCUGGGAACGUGUCAGUGAGAUGAAACUCUUAGACAGAGCUUUUAGAUUAAGGGCUGACUGGAAAGAAGGUUGGAUCUGUGAGCAAAGACUUUCUCUUGCUGUUGGACUCCCGCUGUGUUCAGGGAGAUGGGACAUUGUACCAUCUUUGUAAACAAACAGGAUUACAUCAAAGAAAUAUCAGCCAUUUUCCUCUUAUUGAGAACAACGUUCAACCACCUCAAUUUUAUUAGCUGGUUGGGCUCAAAAAAAAAAAGGGGGGGUAACAAAGUGCUAUACAUUGUACAUACUCUGAAAAACCAGGUACUUUUCAAAUUGGGAACCCAGAAUUAGCUGAUACUUCAUUUUGACUUUAUUCUCUGUGCCGCAGUUUUCUGUAGGUAAAACAAGGAUAAUAAGAGUACCUCAGUUCCCUGCAGUGUUGUGAUGAUUAGUCCAUUAAUGUUUGUAAAGAAGUAUAACACUGAAAUAAAAGCACCAUAGAGAAAUUAAUCCUUCUAUCCUCAGUGCAGGACUUGCAGGGCCUGCCAUUAAUAAGGCACAGGGACCUAUUUUGAAUGAGGAGGAUGAAAAAAGUCAAAAUACCUAC